CGCCUGUUUACCAAAAACAUAGCCUUCAGCAAACAACAAGUAUUGAAGGUGAUGCCUGCCCAGUGACUACAACGUUCAACGGCCGCGGUAUCCUAACCGUGCGAAGGUAGCGCAAUCAAUUGUCUCAUAAAUCGAGACUUGUAUGAAUGGCUAAACGAGGUCUUAACUGUCUCCUACAGAUGAUCAGUGAAAUUAGUAUUCCCGUGCAAAAACGAGAAUGGGACCAUAAGACGAGAAGACCCUGUGGAACUUCAAAAUCACGACCACCUUGACACCAACCCAAAUCCACCGGACCCACCCACACAAAACACCUGGUCGACAUUUUUCGGUUGGGGCGACCUUGGAGAAAAAUAAAUCCUCCAAACCACAGACCACAACUCUUCACCGAGACCAACCCCUCUAAGUACUAACAGUAACCAGACCCAAUAUAAUUGAUCAAUGGACUAAGCUACCCCAGGGAUAACAGCGCAAUCUCCUCCAAGAGCCCAUAUCGACAGGAGGUUUACGACCUCGAUGUUGGAUCGGGACAACCUAAUGGUGCAGCCGCUAUUAAGGGUUCGUUUGUUCAACGAUUAACAGUCCUACGUGAUCUGAGUUCAGACCGG
rnacentral:rRNA from 1 species